CAGGGGCUUGUUCAGACACUCAUAGAAGUCCACAGCCCAGACUCAUCCCAUUGAAGGGCUGAAGCUGUUUUCACAAGCACAUGAGGACAUUCAGAAGGAGGAAUUUCUCCUGAACAUUACUGGCUGGACUUCUGUGACAGCAGAUCUUUUCCCACAUGGCAGCAAAGACUGUCACUUCAAUUUAUCCCAGGGCCAGGAGGGCUAUUCAUCACCACCAUCAUCACCAUCACCAUCACCACCAUCACCAUAACCAUCAACACCACCAUCACCAUCAUCAUCAUCAUCAUCACUACCAUCAUCAUCACCACCAUCACCAACAUCACCAUCACCACCAUGACCAUCACCAUCACCAUCAUCACCAUGACCAUCAUCAUCACCAUUAUCACCAUCAUCACCAUCACCAUUAUCACCACCACCAUCACCAUCAUCACCAUCAUCAUCAUCAUCAUCAUCACCACCAUCACCAUCACCACCAUCACCAUCACCAACAUCACCACCAUCAUCACCAUCAUCAUCACCAUCACCACCAUCAUCACCAUCACCAUCAUAAUCACCAUCACCAUCAUCACCAUCACCACCAUCAUCACCAUCACCAUCACCAUCAUCGCCAUCACCACCAUCAUCACCAUCAUCAUCACCAUCAUCGCCAUCACCACCAUCAUCACCAUCAUCAUCACCAUCAUCGCCAUCACCACCAUCAUCACCAUCAUCAUCACCAUCACCACCAUCACCAUCAUCAUCACCAUCAUCACAUCACCAUCACCAAGAUCACCAUAAUCAUCACCACCAUCAUCACCAUCACUAUCACCACCAUCACCACCAUCAUCACCACCACCAUCACCAUCAUUACCAUCACCACCAUCACCAUCAUCAUCACCAUCACCACCAUCAUCACCAUCACCAUCAUCAUCACCAUCACCAUCAUCAUCACCAUCACCAACAUCACCAUCAUCAUCACCACUAUCACCAUCAUCAGGUCCCUGUUCUCUUUCACAGUCACUUGGCCAGUUGUAAUGAAGUGAGAGGAAGG
rnacentral:lncRNA from 1 species